UUAAUGGACGGAAUGUAUGUCCGGGUGCGUCAUGAAUAAAUCAUUAUCAUUAUGACCGAUUUAUUGAGGAGUUUCGCGUCGCGUUCCCGUGCUCCAAAGCGUGGGAUAGUUAGAUUUGUGCGGUUCUUUGUGGAAAUGUAUCUAUUCCAUGAUUUAGUGUUUAGUCCUGUUGCAAGUUGUUGUCAAAUUUGAAUUUAUUUCUUUCCGAAACCGAGUGCCGAACAAGGAAGGCAAGCGUAGAAGGCAAGCGUAAGCUUCAGUCACCCGUUCAAGACGUUCGUUUACAAAGUGAAUGUUUAAUCGUUGCAAACUGUUUCUACUGCUGGUUUUUUGCUCGUAACCGAACAAGGAUGUAUGGUCCAAUGGUUUGUGAAUUGAUCGUCAUUAAUUGUUGGUGCGGCGUUAGUGCGGGUUCAGCCAUAGCUUAAGUCGUAGCCGGCGCGGAUGCGUUUGCAGGUUUGGCGUACAAAGUGGGGGACAAAAACACGGCGUGGGAACGAAUACGGUCGCAUUUCUGAAGCACCCUCGAAAGCGUCGCAUCCUUUCUGCUCGCCUUAAAAGAAACGCUGCACCAUAAGCACCCCGAGCGAUCCAGCCAGUACGGAACACACUUUGUUGCGCAUAAAGAUAGCCCUGCGAUCGAUAGUUCUGGAUCCUUGGCACGAGAAUGCUUGGAUCCGGUACGUUUCCCUCGCGGCAAACGAAUAGUGCGGGUACUCCCGAUACUUGAUGGUAAUUGUUCCCGGCACACGGAUGCAUCAUCGGAUAAAAGUAAUUCUUUUUAUUAUGUGAAACGCAAUGCACUCGAAACGUGUGCUUACUUUUCAUUUCCGAAGCUGUGCUGCGAUCCCGCUGUAUACGCUUGCCGUCGUCGUCAUCGUCGUAAGUUGAUCCGUGUCAGUCCGGGAGUCACCGGGCCCCCAGGGGGCGGCAAUGGCAAUGGAACGGGAAAUCGGUUCGUCGAUCCAACGCGGCAGAGGACUCUUUCUCCCUGGCAAAAGUCCCUGGAGUGACAUUUUUCAUGCAAAUUCUGUGUAGUGGAAACGAAACCACCUGACGAUUGGACGACGCGUUUCGACGAUAUGGGGAGAGAGGGAGAGAGAGAGCGUUCUUAUGCAACCCGGGAACAGUAGG